rnacentral:lncRNA from 1 species
UCUUUUGCUUUUAAAUUUAAAUUUCAUAAAAAUAAGUUAAUUAUCCUACAUUGAGUGAAGAGAUAAAAUAUAUAAUUAUCUAAAUGUAAUUAAGUGAAGAGAUAAAAUAUAUAAUUGUCUAAAUGUAUAAUGGCUUGAAAAUCUAUUACGAUAUAACUAAAAUAAAUAAAUAAGAUAUUUUAUUUACUAGAAAUCAAAAGGGGGAGGAGCGCAAAGUGCCCACUUUUAUUUGAAAUUAAUUAAAAAAAAAAAAUUUGAUAUGCCAUAUCCAAAAUAGUUAAAGCCGAUUUUCGAGUUUAGCAAUAAUAAGCCCAUCUACCGCGAAAUCUAUAUUUUAUUAAUCCGAUAUUACUAAUUAAUUAAAACUAAUUUGAUUCUAAAGGAAAAUGGUCUUCUAAUAAUUAGGUCAUCAAACUCCAAGAGAUAUAUUUUUUCCUAUCAAAUUUUAACCUUUGACAAUAUAGAUUAAAUGCCGAAGUCUAGUGAUUAUGCUAAUUUUAACAUCUAAGAGGCAAAAAAGAACGAAAAAAUUUACUAUUCAUUUAGAAGAACUAAACAAGUUUAAACAAACAUAAAUUCUAAAUGAAAAUGUGCGAUGUUUCUAAAGAGAUAGCGACAUAUGUAAUAAUACAAAGAAAACAAAAUGCUUAGGAGGGAAAAGAGACGUGUAAUAAUACAAAGAAAACAAAAUGCUUAGGAGGGAAAAGAGGCACUAGACUGCUAGACGAAAACAUGUAAUGCAUCCACUAUCGCUUCUCCGAUUUGAAGAGAGAUGGAGUCGGUCCACGAGACUCCAACGCGCUCUCGAGUUCACAUGAGAUAGAAAAGAUGGGGAUUAGACACAUAUUCGACUUUAUAAGAGAUACAAAGUGAAUUACGAACUCUUGUUGAAGUAAAAAAAAAAAAAAUCAUUUCAGUACAUGGCAAAAGGGACUUGACUUUUAAAACUAAUCAAUAAAGACGCCAAUAAUGGGAUCCAGAACUCAGAUAGACUAAUAAGACGUAAAUAAUGGCAAGAAAUUUACAAAUACAAGUUAGUAAGGGGGCAUAUUUCUAAUUCUAAUGCUCAUUCCUUACUUUUAGUAACAACUAGAUGACAACUCAAAUUGUAUUAGCCUCAUGUCAUAGGAAAUAAGACAAGAACAGAGGAGCAAAAGUUUCACAGGAAACAAAAUAAUUUAGAGAUUAAGAACUGAGUUAAUGAUGCAAUAAAAAAAGAUACGGAAACAUAUGGCACACUUCAAUCAAAAAUAUGAGAGAUUUGGUUAAAUUUUCCCUAACACAAGAUUUUUCUUUUUUUACCAUUUAUGUAUGCGCGACUUACGAAAAUCAACUACCAUAACGAAGGAUCAACUCGCAUGAAAAGAAAAGAAAACCAAUAACGAUACAAAUGCUCAAGUUCAAACACACCUACUCUGUUAGAAGAAGGGGCAACCAAAGAAUUAAAAUUUUGUUUCUUUUAGAAGCGAAUUCACUAAUUAUUAUUAUUACAAAACAAUAGCUGCACGUAGUAACAUACGAGUAAUGAAUAAGGGAAGGCGGGAUGGUUCAUGCAUAAUCUUAGGACUAGAAUAACCCAGAUAUUCACAAAAUCAUACUGGACGAAGGAGAAAGAGGUGCAAACACGUCAUUUCGGCUUAGAACUACUUUACCAGGAGCAUGAAAUUAAAGCGCUUUUUUGUUAUAUGGAAAAGGGUGAUAAAUACUACUAUUGAGAGAAGAAACGGAAACGUCCGCCGAAUUUUCUUUAGAUCUUAGGACAUUUGAAUGGUUAUCAUGCUCAAGAUAUAUGUUUUAAAAGCCAAGGCAGUAGAUGAUUCAAAAUAAUUUUAUUUUAUCAAGAACGACACUGACUUUUGAAAUAGACAUGCCAAUACAACUACAACCGUUUGAACACAAGAAUACCUCACAUAUGACUCGGCAUUAUGCAACCUUUCUUCGUAUCACAGAAAAGUAGCCAAAUUGCUUCAGACGACAUUAAUAAAUGCAAGCAGAGAACAAACGAGCAUGGAUGGCAAAACAUAGACUGUCAUAAUCAACUGGUAAAGUAACUCUUUAAAUCUACAAUCAUUCGAGGCAAGAAUCUGAGUCCAAAAAGUAAAGAAAUGCCAAGAUAGAAACAAAAUCAUGUUUUUAUUAUUUAAAUGAUAACCAAAAAAAUAAAGAAGAAGACUCGACCCAUGUAGAUUUGCGAACAUAACAAAAACCUCAACUCAAUCAUAUCAAGUAUGCAAAGAGAGACCAAAAUAACUAAUUUAGGCCGGCUAAUGGUAAAAUAGCUUUUAUGAUCUUGAACUGCAUGCAUCUAGAUAGUCAAAUCGAACUCCAUUUUCCUUUUGUGUCAAACUUGGGAUUCUAGACCAACUCCACCAAACAAAGCAAAGAGAGACGAAUCCCAUCGAAGAACUUAGCUUUGUUUCACGUGAUGUAGUAAUCUAAACGAAAUAACAUGUAGAGUUCUUAACAAAUCAUCUUAUGUAUUUAUGUAAAAAAAAUGCUAGUACAAAUUAUAAGGUCGAUUAAACCUUACAGACACAUAUCAGAAUAAUAAAUGGUCCAACCAACAGGAAACCAUAACUGGAAACCCGUGGGAAAACAAAAAAAAACUAAAAAUGAACCUGCAAUGUACAGAACAUAAACUAAAAUGAACUAAGGCUAGUUGUGUCUCAUGCAGCAAAAUCAACCAAUUAACAUCUCAACUAGGACUCGAUAAACGAUUUUAUUCCAAAUUUUCAUUCAUAACCAGCCAACAAAACAACCGACUCCAAUUCAUUUCUUAUUUAUGUUCAUAAUUAGCCAAACGAGAAAGACAAACUCAGACCCAAUUUGCAGUUAACAAACGACAAACCAUCACAAUUAAAAUUGAAACCAACAGAUUACACAUUAACCCUUAAUUUUACGCUGGUACUUUCGUACCCAUAAUAACUUCAGCAAAAAAUCAAAAUUUAUAUUCUAUCCACAGAGGCGACAAAGGGCAACAUAUCAACAAAAUUUAACAUUUUAAAAUUACACCAGAUAUUUCACAAACUGCAAAAAUCUAAAGGAAACGAAGACGGAGAUGAGUAAAGAGAGGCGGAUUCGCACCUUUUUGGGUUCAGCGAACAAGGACGACAAGUCGAAGAGCGAUUCCGCCACUAUCUUUGAUUACGAACUCGGCCGAUGAAAGAGAGUCAACGAGAGUGGUUGAAGUAAAUCAAAACAAAGGAAAAUAGAGCGAAGAAAGUAGAGAAAACAGUGAGUAAAGAGUGUGAUCAUAACCCUCCAAUUCCCUAAUUUCUCUCCCCUUUUUAUAGGCGAAAUUGGGUUGCUAACAGCUUCUUUUAGAAGCUUUGAAAAGUUUCAAAAAUUGAAUUUGAACAGUGACGGUUUGAAGGUAGUGAGGUUUGGAUCCGUAGAUUUAAGCCCGAUAGCCGUCGAAUCAAGAAAAAAAAAUACCUUAUAACUGAUGGAUAUUCAAUUUUCCCCUACUUUCAGAGACCACAGCCACAGGGUCUUGAAAUUUGUUUUGCUUCAGUUGAAAAUUGAAAUUUGCUGUUCGCUGUGUUGUUGAAAUUGUGGUCGUUGUUUGCAGCUGUUACGCUGUUCCUACGCGUAUGCUGACUGUUUUGUUGUUUAAAGAGGUGAAAGGGAUGGGCCGGGUCGGUUUAAAGGGUAGGGGCAUUGGGCUGGUGUUGGUUUGGGCCGCAGAUAUACUUCGUAAAUUGCAA